CCUACGGGAGGCAGCAGUGAGGAAUAUUGGUCAAUGGGCGGAAGCCUGAACCAGCCAAGUAGCGUGCAGGAUGACGGCCCUACGGGUUGUAAACUGCUUUUAUACGGGAAUAACGCGCCUUACGUGUAGGGCUUUGCAUGUACCGUAUGAAUAAGGACCGGCUAAUUCCGUGCCAGCAGCCGCGGUAAUACGGAAGGUCCGGGCGUUAUCCGGAUUUAUUGGGUUUAAAGGGAGCGUAGGCCGCAUGUCAAGCGUGCUGUGAAAUUUCCGGGCUCAACCCGGGCCUUGCAGCGGGAACGGGCGUGCUUGAGUGCGCGGACAGCAGGCGGAAUUCGUGGUGUAGCGGUGAAAUGCUUAGAUAUGACGAAGAACCCCGAUUGCGAAGGCAGCUUGCUGCAGCGGAACUGACGCUGAUGCUCGAAAGCGCGGGUAUCGAACAGGAUUAGAUACCCUUGUAGUC
rnacentral:rRNA from 1 species